CGGAAUUACUGGGCGUAAAGCGCACGCAGGCGGUUUGUUAAGCUAGAUGUGAAAGCCCCGGGCUCAACCUGGGAUGGUCAUUUAGAACUGGCAGACUAGAGUCUUGGAGAGGGGAGUGGAAUUCCAGGUGUAGCGGUGAAAUGCGUAGAUAUCUGGAGGAACAUCAGUGGCGAAGGCGGCUCCCUGGCCAAAGACUGACGCUCAUGUGCGAAAGUGUGGGUAGCGAACAGGAUUAGAUACCCUGGUAGUCCACACCGUAAACGCUGUCUACUAGCUGUUUGUGAAUUUAAUUCGUGAGUAGCGAAGCUAACGCGAUAAGUAGACCGCCUGGGGAGUACGGCCGCAAGGUUAAAACUCAAAUGAAUUGACGGGGGCCCGCACAAGCGGUGGAGCAUGUGGUUUAAUUCGACGCAACGCGAAGAACCUUACCUACACUUGACAUGCAGAGAACUUUCCAGAGAUGGAUUGGUGCCUUCGGGAACUCUGACACAGGUGCUGCAUGGCCGUCGUCAGCUCGUGUCGUGAGAUGUUGGGUUAAGUCCCGCAACGAGCGCAACCCUUGUCCUUAGUUGCCAGCAUUUAGUUGGGCACUCUAAGGAGACUGCCGGUGACAAACCGGAGGAAGGUGGGGACGACGUCAAGUCAUCAUGGCCCUUACGUGUAGGGCUACACACGUGCUACAAUGGCAAGUACAGAGGGAAGCGAGACAGUGAUGUGGAGCGGACCCCUUAAAGCUUGUCGUAGUCCGGAUUGGAGUCUGCAACUCGACUCCAUGAAGUCGGAAUCGCUAGUAAUCGCAGGUCAGCAUACUGCGGUGAAUACGUUCCCGGGCCUUGUACACACCGCCCGUCACACCAUGGGAGUGGAUUGCACCAGAAGUGGUUAGUCUAACCUUCGGGAGGACGAUCACCACGGUGUGGUUCAUGACUGGGGUGAAGUCGUAACAAGGUAGCCGUAGGGGAACCUGCGGCUGGAUCACC
rnacentral:rRNA from 12 species